UUAAUAUACACUAACGUGUAUAUACGGCCGUUUCAAUUUUUGAUUUUCCAUUAGAAAAAAUGUUCCGCCGCCUAGUGCAUAUUGUGGCGCCCUCACACGACAGAUCUCGUGCUAUUUCUGUCAAAUUAAUUGUCAAGUUGAAACUGACAUUGACAACAAAUUUUACUCGAAGCAUAAAAAAAGCAGUUUGGUUCAGAUAAUAAUGUUUUUUUUUUAAUUUUAUCACAAAACACAGUUUAAAAUUUAAUGCAAAUCUCUUGACAGAAUCUGUGGUCUCCAAGCAAAGAUUGCUGAGAACUGGCUUUACAGUCGUUUUGAUUAUAUAUUUGCACACAGAAUCCCUGUGAUUUGCACAGACAAAAAUGGGAUUUUGCACAAGAAAUGGCAACAUUUGCUGGAUGCUUUCAGCUAUCUGCUGAAUAAUACCAACAAAGAUAUCUUUGGGAUAGACUAAACCUCCUCGGUUUUGAAUGGCAAUCAAUUGUAGCAAAGGACCUGGAAUGCUAGUACAUAAUAGAGGUGUUAAACAUUCAUCACAAUGAAAUAAAUCUUCUAAUUUUUUUAUGAUGUAUCCUGCCAAGAAAGCUACUGAUGCCGAGAAAAUAUUAUUAUCAGCAGUGUUUGAGGAAUGGGAAGCUUUAACAAUCCCACAACGAAGAAUUUGCCUUAAUGCAUAAUCUGCAGCUCUGGCAUCUGUGGCAUCAUUAGAACCACCUUUCAGUCUUACAUGUGAAAACAUGGCCUCUACAGCGUCUGAGCUGAAGGAUCGCGUUACAACAUAAUAGAAGCCAACCUGGCUUAGCAAAAAUUUUACACAGAGGUAUGUGCUUUUUGCCGUGAAUUGUAACGCAUGAGCUGUUUCCUUAGUAAGACCUUUAAAUCCAACAUCUACAGAAGUCUUCUGGAUAUCGUCAAUAUACUUUGGAAAUGUGACAUUUAACCAGUCAAGACGUGCGUCUGAAAUAUGCACAUAUGGUGCAAUACUGCUAUCUAGUGAACGAAGAUAGUGAUCUCUGCUUGAAACAUUAUGCACCUGAAAAAAGUGGUACAUGUUUUCCAUAUAGAAUAUAGAGGCAUCAGCGUCUACAAAGCGAUCGUCCCCUGCAGCUUUUAGAAAUUUUAAAGAAGAGGUUACAGUAGGUGAAAAAACUUGGAUUGCUCUUAGGACAUUCAUUUUUUCAAAGUUUGAUGGAAAUAGAUGCUUCUUUGUUAAAUAUCUGACAGGCUUUACUGGCAUUCCUUUCUGCAAAUCAUACAAUAAUUUGAGGCAACAUGAUGAAAUUUUGCCUUGAGAAGAAUACAUAUCAUGGUCUAAAAACAAAUUUCGUGCAUUUUUUAGAGCAUGGCAGAAAUCGAAACUCAAAAAUAGUGGAAUAUGUUCCAGAAUGGGAUGAUCAAUGGAAUUUUUCAGUGAUCCGUUUCCAAAUUUUUUAAAGAGGGCGACAUUUGUUGAAAUAUUGUCUGUAACAAAUCUAAUCACAAUGUAGCCGCAGUUUGUCAGAAGUUGUAAAAUGUUUUUUGUUAAUAAAUAUAAUUCCUGAGUUGUUAACGACGAGUGGAAAAAAUA